UACAGAGGUCUCAAGCGUUGUUCGGAUUCAUUGGGCGUAAAGGGUGUGUAGGUGGCGCCGUAAGUCGGGUGUGAAAUUUCGGAGCUUAACUCCGAAACUGCAUUCGAUACUGCGGUGCUUGAGGACUGGAGAGGAGACUGGAAUUCAUGGUGUAGCAGUGAAAUGCGUAGAUAUCGUAAGGAAGACCAGUGGCGAAGGCGAGUCUCUGGACAGUUACUGACACUGAGGCACGAAGGCCAGGGGAGCAAACGGG
rnacentral:rRNA from 1 species